UCUGGCCGGCAUCGUGAGCUGCUGUCAGUUCCCAUUAAGCUUCUAGCACUUACGUUUUCCAUCCGGGGCGUUCCCAAUCCUCCUAUCUCCUUGUUGUCCUUGGUGCUAGGCGUGGCAGGCAGGUGGCGGCGUUUCCUUCUGCUACCCUCCAUAUUCCCAGCCAAGGAGUGUUUUACCCACCACUCUGACGACGAUGGCAUCCCUUACAAAGUUCCUCAUUGAAAAUCCUGGCACCUAAAGACACAGGCCUCCGAGAGAGCCCCGCGGCCUCUGAACAAAGUACUUAAGUUUGCACUAAACGCCUGGAACCUAUUCAGAUGGUGUUCUUUGUCUCCUACUUGCCUGAACCAAGAGAAGAACCAUCCAAGGCAAAUGACAAUUGCAGCAAAGCAACACACACUCAGGAGAGAAUGCUGUGCUGCCUCUUCCUCAGUCAGUACAGAACACUGAACAACUAAACUAUACUAUGACUCAGGUGCUUGGCCAGGUGGCACACAGCAAAGGCCAUAGUAUCUUCCAGUCAUCAUUUAUACCUGCCAUUAUUUGUCUGUGAACAGCCCUUAAUAAAUGCCAGCAUGUGGGA